rnacentral:rRNA from 1 species
GUGGGGAAUAUUGGGCAAUGGGCGAAAGCCUGACCCAGCAACGCCGCGUGAAGGAAGAAGGUCUUCGGAUCAUAAACUUCUAUCCUUGGUGAAGAUAAUGACGGUAGCCGAGAAGGAAGCCCCGGCUAACUACGUGCCAGCAGCCGCGGUAAUACGUAGGGGGCAAGCGUUGUCCGGAAUGAUUGGGCGUAAAGGGGGCGUAGGCGGCCUGGUAAGUCUGGAGUGAAAGUCCUGCUUUUAAGGUGGGAAUUGCUUUGGAUACUGUCGGGCUUGAGUGCAGGAGAGGUAAGUGGAAUUCCCGGUGUAGCGGUGAAAUGCGUAGAGAUCGGGAGGAACACCAGUGGCGAAGGCGACUUACUGGACUGUAACUGACGCUGAGGCGCGAAAGUGUGGGGAGCAAACAGGAUUAGAUACCCCGGUAGUCC